rnacentral:rRNA from 1 species
UACGAGUGGAGCGAGCGUUGUUCGGAAUCACUGGGCGUAAAGCGUGCGCAGGCGGUCACACAAGUCAGGAGUGAAAUCCCAGAGCUUAACUUUGGAAUUGCUCUUGAAACUGUGUGACUCGAGUCCCGGAGAGGUUGGCGGAAUUCUCAGUGUAGAGGUGAAAUUCGCAGAUAUUGAGAGGAACACCAGUGGCGUAAGCGGCCAACUGGACGGGUACUGACGCUCAUGCACGAAAGCGUGGGGAGCAAACAGG